GUGCUCGCUUCAGCAGCACAUAUACUAAAAUUAGAAUGAUACAGAGAUUAGCAUGGCCCUAGCACAAGGAUGACAGGUAAAUUCAUGAAGCAUUCCAUUAAAAA
rnacentral:snRNA from 1 species